rnacentral:rRNA from 1 species
GAUGAACGCUGGCGGCGUGCCUAAUACAUGCAAGUCGAGCGAAUGGAUUAAGAGCUUGCUCUUAUGAAGUUAGCGGCGGACGGGUGAGUAACACGUGGGUAACCUGCCCAUAAGACUGGGAUAACUCCGGGAAACCGGGGCUAAUACCGGAUAACAUUUUGAACCGCAUGGUUCGAAAUUGAACGGCGGCUUCGGCUGUCACUUACGGAUGGACCCGCGUGGCAUUCGCAAGUUGGUGAGGUAACGGCUCACCAAGGCAACGAUGCGUAGCCGACCUGGGAGGGUGCUCGGCCACACUGGGACUGAGACACGGCCCAGACUCCUACGGGAGGCAGCAGUAGGGAAUCUUCCGCAAUGGACGAAAGUCUGACGGAGCAACGCCGCGUGAGUGAUGAAGGCUUUCGGGUCGUAAAACUCUGUUGUUAGGGAAGAACAAGUGCUAGUUGAAUAAGCUGGCACCUUGACGGUACCUAACCAGAAAGCCACGGCUAACUACGUGCCAGCAGCCGCGGUAA